GACGAACGCUGGCGGCGUGCCUAAAACAUGCAAGUCGAACGGGGUCCAUCCUUCGGGAGAAGACCUAGUGGCGAACGGGUGAGUAACACGUGAGAAACCUGCCUCGAAGUCUGGGAUAAGCCAGGGAAACUGGGUCUAAUACCGGAUACCUUCACAACUUCUUCUGUUGAUGUGAAGAAAGUUUUUCGCUUCGAGAGGGUCUCGCGUCCUAUCAGCUUGUUGGUGGGGUAACGGCCUACCAAGGCUCGACGGGUAGCUGGUCUGAGAGGAUGAUCAGCCACACUGGGACUGAGACACGGCCCAGACUCCUACGGGAGGCAGCAGUUAGGAAUCUUGCGCAAUGGGCGAAAGCCUGACGCAGCAACGCCGCGUGAGAGAUGAAUGCUUUCGGUUGUAACCUACUUUCAGUAGGAACGAAAUUAGACGGUACCUACAGAAGAAGCUCCGGCCAACUACGUGCCAGCAGCCG
rnacentral:rRNA from 1 species